UACGGAGGGGGCUAGCGUUGUUCGGAAUUACUGGGCGUAAAGCGCACGUAGGCGGACCAGAAAGUUGGGGGUGAAAUACCGGGGCUCAACCUCGGAACUGCCUUCAAAACUAUUGGUCUUGAGUUCGAGAGAGGUGAGUGGAAUUCCGAGUGUAGAGGUGAAAUUCGUAGAUAUUCGGAGGAACACCAGUGGCGAAGGCGGCUCACUGGCUCGAUACUGACGCUGAGGUGCGAAAGCGUGGGGAGCAAACAGG
rnacentral:rRNA from 1 species